rnacentral:rRNA from 1 species
GUCUAUGGCCAUGCCACCCUGAGCACGCCCGAUCCCGUCCGAUCUCGGAAGUUAAGCAGGGUCGGGCCUGGUUAGUACUUGGAUGGGAGACCACCUAGGAGUAAACUAUAAAAAAAUAAGGGAUUGUAAGCU